UUUCAGGCUACCAAAAGCAACGAAUUAAGGCUAGAGAUGUAGGAACGUCCUGAUUCGCUAAAACAUAUGGAUUACAUGAUCUGCAGCAGCAGGAUGGAUAUUACAGUUGAGUAGAAAUUAUUGCUGAACCGAAAGAUGAGGAACCAAUGCCUGGCCAUGGCCUGCACUGCACUGCUCUGCGCCCCCAAGAACCUGAAGCUCCCCCUGCACGGCGGCACUGCAACCUGUUGGUUGGAUUCAGAUUCAGAUUCAGAAGCUCCUGCAUGCAUGCGAUCCUCCUUAGCUUCCCAGGCAGUGGGCAGUGGCAGAGCGAGGAGGCGUGAGCAGUGAGCAGUCAGCAGCAGGGGUAGACGGCGACGCAGCGCCUCCUGGGCGGAGUGCAGAGGAGCAUGAAGACGAGGGCGAUGAUGGCGGCGACGAGCAGCCCCAGGAGGUUGAACCCGGCCUCCUCCUCCGCCUCGUUGCUGCAGCACAUCUUGCCCAUGCCGGUGGAUGGCUGUGGCCUAUGGGAUGGGAUGGGAUGGAUGGCUGAGUAGAAAAAAGAGCAAAGGGGGGGGGGGGGGGGGGGGGGGGGGGGCUUGCUUCUUGCUUCUUGGUACUAGCUGGCUGCUAUAUUUUGUUAUGAACCUUGGCUUUGAAGGCAUUGUAGUUGCAGGGCAGGCAGUGGUUGGG
rnacentral:lncRNA from 1 species